rnacentral:rRNA from 1 species
UACGUAGGGGGCAAGCGUUGUCCGGAAUCAUUGGGCGUAAAGAGCGUGUAGGCGGCCCGGUAAGUCCGCUGUGAAAGUCAAGGGCUCAACCCUUGAAAGCCGGCCGAUACUGUCGGACUAGAGUCCGGAAGAGGCGAGUGGAAUUCCUGGUGUAGCGGUGAAAUGCGCAGAUAUCAGGAGGAACACCGAUGGCGAAGGCAGGUCUCUGGGCCACUACUGACGCUGAGAAGCGAAAGCAUGGGGAGCGAACAGG